rnacentral:tRNA from 1 species
UGUUCUGUGGCUGAGCUGGUUAAAGCACCGGUCUAGCGAAUACGCACGGAGUCGUAGGUUUAAAUCCCACCAGAACGC